AGUGUAUGUUAAAUAAAAAAAGGUAGUUUUUUGGACACACAUUUUCUUCGACAAUAAUUUGUCGAUUUACAUUCAGUCUUAAUCCAAGCAGCGUUAAGAAAAUAAUAAAAUUAUUCCAAGAUGCCUUGUGGAGAGCCAGCAACCAAAAAGAAGGCCGCGGCCAAACCGAAAACGGCAAAAUCAGACAAAAAACCAUUGGCGAAAAAAACAACAGGCAAAAAUCCGGUUGCUAAAAAAACUGCACCUAAAAAGAAGGCUCCACGUAGAAGCUGCUGCGAUUACGAUUCAUUUUCCUCAUCAAGCGACUCAGAUUCAUACGAUAGUAGUUCGAGCGAGGACUGUUGUAUGAUGAGGGGUCCCUGUCGACCAGUCAAAAAAUGUAAACCAAGAAAAGGCUGCUGUUAGACAAGCAUUUCACAAUUUUUAUCGUGCUGGACGUGAUGUUUCCAAUUUGACUUGUUAUAUAUGUAUUAUUGUAUUUUAUUUUUUUGUACUUUUUAUUAUGUAAAAUUUAUGUGUUGGAUAUCCUUUUAUAAAUAAAUAUUUGAUAUGAAGUAA